rfam:Biomphalaria glabrata isolate BB02 linkage group LG11 unlocalized genomic scaffold LG11_random_Scaffold4, whole genome shotgun sequence.
GGAGCGGUGGCUGAGCGGUAAAGUGCUUGGCUUCUGAACCGGAGGUACCGGGUUCAAAUCCUGGAUCUUUCG